UCCGGAGCGCCGCGGGCGGCCGCGUGGGUCGGGGGGCGGUUACUUUUCCGCCUGCAACUGGAGGAGAAAGACUCCUGAGUCACCGUCGGCCUUGCGCGAGGGGCGGCAGCGCCUGCGGCCAGUCGCCGGGCUCUUCGUAUCGGGGGUCCCCGCGGAGUUAAGUCCGCUUCCUGCCGGGAACCCGACUCUGUGCCAGAGCCCAUGAAUCAGCCUCGGGCCCCUCCGUCCUGUGGGUCCAGGGCCCCGGGCCCCGGUACCUUUCGGGGUGCAGCCGAGCGGUCGGCGUCGCCUCAGCUUCAAGGUCAUCCCGGGAGGCCACCUUCUCCCCAGCCCUGGUGGACGCAGCCUUGAGCUUAACUCCGCGCCUUCUGCUCAGUCUCAUUUUGCUUUACACAAAUGGGACUUGCAGGUACAACAGAACUCCUAAGUUGAAGAUGAAUGAAGGUCAUCUUCAGAUAAAUGUUUUCUAAAAUUUGCCAUAGAGGAUGGCUAUGAAAAAAACCACUAGGAGGACAACUGCAUGUUACAAGGUACCUGCAGGUGAAUGUUCAAGUCCUUAGCAUUAGUGUAGAAAUACUUCAUUGCCUCAAAGAUGUGGCAUACAGCAUUUCGGAAGGAAAAAUGAACUGGUCAAGAAGACAUGAAGCAAAUGAUGAAAAAUUAAUAAUUUUAUUUAACAUUGAUCAUCUCACAAUAAAUUCUGUAGAAAAAUACAAAUUCAAAUUAUUAAUUGCGGGACAAUAAAGUCUGUUAUCUUUAAAGU
rnacentral:lncRNA from 1 species